CGUAGUUGAAUAUCUGGACUCAACUUUCGGUCCGGGGCCUUGUGUCCUGCGUACUGUUCUUGUUGGGUCCAUCUUAGUAGUGAAUGGUUCUGGCAUUAAGUUGUUGGGGUCGGGAGCUGCUUCGUUUACUGUGAAUAAAAUAGAGUGUUUAAAGCAGGCAUUACGCCUUGAAUACUUCAGCAUGGAAUAAAAUUAUAGGACUUAGUUGCUAUUUUAUUGGUUUGCGCACCUAGUAAUGA
rnacentral:rRNA from 1 species